CCCAGACUCAUUCUGUGCCAUUGUAUCUGCUGUCCUGAGUCCCAGGAGGCUUUAGGAUGGGUCUCCCAGGAGACCCAAAGGAUGAGGCUGGGUUAGGGUAUUUCUUUUGGGGGGAGUGUUUUUAAAUUAUUUAUUUUAGAGAGGGAGUGCAUGAGAGCAGGAGGAAGGGCAGAGAGAGACGGAAUCUCAAGCAGAUUCCAAGCUGAGCAUAUAGCCAGACAGCGGGCUCCAUCUCACAAUCCUGAGAUCAAGAGUCAGAGGCUUAACAGACUGAGCCACGCAGGCAACCCUCCUUCUUCUGUUCUUCUCUAGGUGAUGCUGAGGUUCUGGCUGGAACUGCUCCUGAUCAGCAUAGCUCCAGUGGAGUUCAGCCUACUGGAGCUAUGGAGAAGGGAAGUCUUCCUGCCAGUGCUGCUCGAGAGAUCUCAGUUUUCCUUCAUUUAGCUAUCACCACGAUGUGAAGGUUCAUGAAGCAUAUGAUAUCCUGGCAUGGGGUCACACCUAACAUCAUCUUUGGACCAAGGGACCUUCUUUGUAGUAAAAGUUGACCUUGGCCAAGCAAAAGGCCCCUUGCCUGGGAAGUUAUCUCCACUAGGGUGGAUAGCGCAUUCCAAUAACUG